GCGCGGGUGGCGAAACUGGCAGACGCACCACCUUGAGGUGGUGGCGCCCGUAAGGGCAUGCAGGUUCAAAUCCUGUCCCGCGCACCA
rnacentral:tRNA from 1 species